rnacentral:rRNA from 1 species
AACGAACGCUGGCGGCAUGCCUAACACAUGCAAGUCGAACGAGACCUUCGGGUCUAGUGGCGCACGGGUGCGUAACGCGUGGGAACCUGCCCUUAGGUUCGGAAUAACUCCCCGAAAGGGGUGCUAAUACCGGAUAAUGUCUUCGGACCAAAGAUUUAUCGCCUUUGGAUGGGCCCGCGUUGGAUUAGCUAGUUGGUAGGGUAAAAGCCUACCAAGGCGACGAUCCAUAGCUGGUCUGAGAGGAUGAUCAGCCACACUGGGACUGAGACACGGCCCAGACUCCUACGGGAGGCAGCAGUGGCGAAUAUUGGACAAUGGGCGAAAGCCUGAUCCAGCAAUGCCGCGUGAGUGAUGAAGGCCUUAGGGUUGUAAAGCUCUUUUACCCGGGAUGAUAAUGACAGUACCGGGAGAAUAAGCUCCGGCUAACUCCGUG